UGAAUACGAGAUGCUACGGCGUCGAAGCAGUGUAUGUCAGACUUCCAAGAAAAGCUCGCAAUGUCAUAAAUAAAGAAUGCCUGUACCAUAACCGACACAGGUGGGUAAGUAGAGUAUACUAAGGGGCGCGAGAUAACUCUCUCUAAGGAACUCGGCAAAAUAACUCCGUAACUUCGGGAGAAGGAGUGCCUUCUUUAAGAAGGUUGCAAUAACAAGAUCCAAGCAACUGUUUAUCAAAAACACAGGUCUCCGCUAAGUCGUAAGACGAUGUAUGGGGGCUGACGCCUGCCCAGUGCCAGAAGGUUAAAGAAGUUGGUUAGCUUUUGCGAAGCUGAUGACUGAAGCCCUGGUGAACGGCGGCCGUAACUAUAACGGUCCUAAGGUAGCGAAAUUCCUUGUCGGGUAAGUUCCGACCCGCACGAAAGGCGUAAUGAUUUGGAUACUGUCUCGGAGAGGGACUCGGUGAAAUAGACUUGUCUGUGAAGGUGCGGACUACCUGCACCAGGACAGAAAGACCCUAUGAAGCUUUACUGUAACUUGAAAUCGAAAUUGGACUUUAUUUGCGCAGUAUAGGUGGAAGGCGUUGAAAGUAAUCUUGCGGGAUUAGUGGAGCCAUCAGUGAGAUACCACUCCUAUAAUGUUAGAUUUCUAACUUUGGAUCAUGAUCUGGUCAAAGAACAGUUUCAGGCGGGCAGUUUGACUGGGGCGGUCGCCUCCCAAAUGGUAACGGAGGCGUACAAAGGUUUCCUCUGAACGGGUAGAAAUCGUAUCUAGAGUGUAAAGGCAUAAGGAAGCUUGACUGUGAGACCUACAAGUCGAGCAGGGACGAAAGUCGGUCUUAGUGAUCUGACGGUGCUGAGUGGAAAGGCCGUCACUCAACGGAUAAAAGUUACUCUAGGAUAACAGGCUGAUCUCCCCCAAGAGUUCACAUCGACGGGGAGGUUUGGCACCUCGAUGUCGGCUCAUCGCAUCCUGGGGCGGUAGUACGUCCCAAGGGUUGGGCUGUUCGCCCAUGAAAGCGGUACGCGAGCUGGGUUCAGAACGUCGUGAGACAGUUCGGUCCAUAUCCGGUGUAGGCGUUAGAGUAUUGAGAGGAGCCUUCUUUAGUACGAGAGGACCGAGAAGGACAUACCUCUGGUGUACCAGUUAUCGUGCCAACGGUAAACGCUGGGUAGCUAUGUAUGGAGAGGAUAACCGCUGAAAGCAUCUAAGUGGGAAGCCCACCUCAAGAUGAGUAUUCU
rnacentral:rRNA from 1 species